GCCCAGGUGGUGGAAUUGGUAUACACGCGACACUUAAAAUGUCGUGAGCGAAAGCUCUUGAGAGUUCGAGUCUCUCCCUGGGCA
rnacentral:tRNA from 1 species